CUAAGGAUGAUCCUUCAGCGAGCCUCAAGCUCACUAUCGGAUCGUUUUAGAAACAUCAGUGGCCAACAGAUCGCCAGAUCGUUGAGCUGCAUUGGCGGGAUUUCGCCGUCUUCGUUUCUCUUUCUUCGCGGACGAACACGCGCUGGGUCUGCUUGAGCAGAACCAUGGUCCUUGACGGGAUAUGCGUUAGGGGCUUGUAGCUCAGUUGGUUAGAGCGCGCGCUUGAUAAGCGUGAGGUCGGAAGUUCAAGUCUUCCCAGGCCCACCACUUUCAUCGAGUGAGCAUUCGUCUUCUGGUUACGGGGCCAUAGCUCAGCUGGGAGAGCGCGUGCUUUGCAAGCAUGAGGUCGUCGGUUCGAUCCCGUCUGGCUCCACCAGAUGGUUUGAUCACCGAGAUCUUGUACCGUCGUCCGCGAAACAUCACUUCGCAUCCUGCUAGUCUGGAUAGACAGCAAGAUGCGUGUUUUCUGACAUCGUAAAGAGGAGAUCGAUCCGAGUUGGGUCGUGCAGCAAAUUGUUGCGCGAGCCUUCAUUAUCUCCGGAUCAUUUUCGGCGCUCGCGUCCGACCGCAAGGUUGGCUGCGAGUUGUAAAAUGAUCCUUUUAGCGAAGCUUGACCGCCUCGCUAUCGGAACGAUCUUACGAAGCAAGCUGGUCUUUCUAGUCAAUGUCCGGCUGCACAUAGCGUUCAUCGAGGGCGCGUGCCGUAAGGCAAUUGUGCAGACAACAUUCUGCCGAGUGUGUGGACAUUGAUAAUGAGAGC
rnacentral:tRNA from 1 species